AUAGAAGAGGAUGUAGGCGAAGACGUUGAAGACGAGCGCGAUGCCGAUGGCGCGCGUGAGCGACCAAUCGGC
rnacentral:sRNA from 1 species